UGCUUAACACAUGCAAGUCGAACGGAAAGGCCCUGCUUGCAGGGUACUCGAGUGGCGAACGGGUGAGUAACACGUGGGUGAUCUGCCCUGCACUUCGGGAUAAGCCUGGGAAACUGGGUCUAAUACCGGAUAGGACCAUCGUUUAGUGUCGGUGGUGGAAAGUUUUUCGGUGCAGGAUGAGCUCGCGGCCUAUCAGCUUGUUGGUGGGGUAAUGGCCUACCAAGGCGUCGACGGGUAGCCGGCCUGAGAGGGUGGACGGCCACAUUGGGACUGAGACACGGCCCAGACUCCUACGGGAGGCAGCAGUGGGGAAUAUUGCACAAUGGGCGCAAGCCUGAUGCAGCGACGCCGCGUGGGGGAUGAAGGCCUUCGGGUUGUAAACUCCUUUCAACCAUGACGAAGCGUAAGUGACGGUAGUGGUAGAAGAAGCACCGGCUAACUACGUGCCAGCAGCCGCGGUAAUACGUAGGGUGCGAGCGUUGUCCGGAAUUACUGGGCGUAAAGAGCUCGUAGGUGGUUUGUCGCGUCGUCUGUGAAAUUCCGGGGCUUAACUCCGGGCGUGCAGGCGAUACGGGCAUAACUUGAGUGCUGUAGGGGAGACUGGAAUUCCUGGUGUAGCGGUGAAAUGCGCAGAUAUCAGGAGGAACACCGAUGGCGAAGGCAGGUCUCUGGGCAGUAACUGACGCUGAGGAGCGAAAGCAUGGGUAGCGAACAGGAUUAGAUACCCUGGUAGUCCAUGCCGUAAACGGUGGGCGCUAGGUGUGGGGGUCUUCCACGACUUCUGUGCCGUAGCUAACGCAUUAAGCGCCCCGCCUGGGGAGUACGGCCGCAAGGCUAAAACUCAAAGGAAUUGACGG
rnacentral:rRNA from 1 species